rnacentral:misc_RNA from 1 species
AACGCAUCUUGCGCUCUUGGGUUAUUCCUAAGAGCAUGCCUGUUUGAGUGUCGCGAAACUCUCAACCCCGUUCUAUGCCUUUGUGCAUUGGAAUAGUUAGGGUUUGGAUCUUGGUCUUUGCAGUGAGCUUCGGUGAACUGCUGGAUUGAAAUACAACAAGCUGGAUUCAUAGACUUGCGGCUUGACCUGUCGUUGUAAGCAAAUCAUUGCAACUCGAUGGGGACGUAAGAUAAUGGAAUGAGCUUUCCAAAUUUGCUAUUCACUUCUGAAAUCUUAGCAUUUCAUUAGUGCAUUCUGACCUCAAAUCAGGUAGGAUUACCCGCUGAACUUAA